rnacentral:tRNA from 1 species
AGUGGAGUGGUGUAGAGGUUAGCACACCCGACCGGACAUUGGGAGCCCCAGAGUUCAAAUCCUGGCUCCGCCG